rnacentral:lncRNA from 1 species
CGAAAACGGAAAGGCCUCGCUCGAGAUGCAAACUUGGUUGGCGUGGCUAAGGGGAGGAAAGAGGCUGGUAGGAGCUGGAGCGAGAGCAAAGGGGAGAGAAGACAGAGAGAAGGCAGCUGCAGGCCACCUGGCUCUUGAGGACUAAGGACCACUGUGACCUCUGUGUGCUGAAUGGACUGUGGGGGCGGCAUUGGAGGCGAAUGGACCGGUUAAUGAACUGUGGCAGCGAUGUUGCUGAGAGGUGACGGUGUCCCGAGCUGCGGCUGGAGCAGUGGAGAUGGAAUCGUAAUGAGGAAGUGAGCACAACGUCUUGCUCUGUGGAGAAGUGAACUGAGGGGGAAGUCGUGAGAGUUAGCUGUUAGCCGCCAGGCCUGCAGGAGGCUCCCGGCGAUGAGAACCAUGUCAGGUGAUGACUCAGUGCCGUGUAUCUCGCCUUCCUCAGCUCUGCCCUGUCCAAUUCUCCAAAGCCAAAUAAAUAGGAAGCGUGGCAGACGGGCUUCUUUUUAGCAGCAGUACACUUGGGUUUGUUUUUACGGGCAUGAGUCCACUGGAAAGCAAUAAUUUUUGUCUUGCCUCUUUGCUGCAUCAGAGCAAUGGAGCAAUUUUAAAGAGAGAUUGCAAAGAAACGAUUUCAUAGCUUACAAAAUGGAAUCACAUAGUGACUGCCAAGUUGGCUGUGCUAAUAAGUCAUGACUGGUUCUUUUUUUUAAAAUAAAAAUUGUACAUAUUUAAGGUGUACGUGUUUGGUAUACGCAUACAUAGUGAAAUGAUUACUAAAAUCAAGCUAGUUAACAUACCCAUCUCU